AACGAACGCUGGCGGCAUGCCUAACACAUGCAAGUCGAACGAAGUCCUUCGGGGCGUUAGUGGCGCACGGGUGCGUAACGCGUGGGAAUCUGCCCUUGGGUUCGGAAUAACAGUUAGAAAUGACUGCUAAUACCGGAUGAUGACGAAAGUCCAAAGAUUUAUCGCCCAAGGAUGAGCCCGCGUAGGAUUAGGUAGUUGGUGGGGUAAAGGCCUACCAAGCCGACGAUCCUUAGCUGGUCUGAGAGGAUGAUCAGCCACACUGGGACGUGAGACACGGCCCAGACUCCUACGGGAGGCAGCAGUGGGGAAUAUUGGACAAUGGGCG
rnacentral:rRNA from 1 species